CUCGGCUUGGACCCCAGUGAUGGUUAACGUGGCCGUGGAGCCAGACUUGGAUCCAGAGAAUCGCGAAGGGAUGCCCGAGGGUCUCUUGUUGCUCUCAUAGAUCAGAGUGACAGGAGCAGUGCCAGGAACUUUCUGCUGGAACCAGCCAUAGCUAUCACUACCCCCGGAGCAGGUGAUCUGGACGGUUUGUCCCGGGUUGGCUGACACGGAGGGUGGCUGAGUCAGCGCUGCCUGGACCAGGGAACCCACAGAGGGAGUGGGGAGAACCAGAGUCAGCCUGUGCCCCAGGAGCACAGCCUUCUCCAGGUAGUCGGACAGGAACAGAGACCCUGUGCUCAAAGGUCAUGAUACCACGGAGGGACCUAGAACCCUUUGCACAGAGCCCAAGGCCAGAGCAUGAAGAUCCUGAAAGGAAAACGGGCAGCAGCAAGGGGAGGGUGAAUGUCAGGGUCAGUGUCUCUGUCACGCUGACCACCACUGCUACCGUCAGAGCUACCACAGUAAUAGACGGCCUCGUGCUCGGCUUGGACCCCAGUGAUGGUUAACGUGGCCGUGGAGCCAGACUUGGAUCCAGAGAAUCGAGAAGGGAUGCCCGAGGGUCUCUUGUCAUCCCAGUAGAUCAGAGUGACAGGGCCAGUGCCAGGGAC